CCGCACUAUUUUGUGUUUGGGAGGUUACAGCUCUGCCUCUAGAUUCCCCAGCUCAGACUUUUGACAUUGCAAGCAGCUAACAAUACUCACAUAUCAUGCUUUAUAAUAGCACUUGUAGGUGCCAUCCUACUGUCCUGUGUGGAACAUUGGAAUUAGUGGCUAGAGUAUCUUAAAAGAGUUCCAUUAGCAAACAAAGUGAGUGUAUAAGUCAGAGUAAUGUCUUGAAACCCCAGUUUACUCUCCAUAUCAUUUACAUAUGACAGGAGAGCAAUGCAGCAACCACCUUAAGAUUACAAAACAAAGGACAAACACAGCACCCUAAUGAAUUGUGUAAUGCCAAAUGCCAGUAUUUCUUAAGAUUUAAGCCUCACUCAAUUUCUUCACAUGUAAUAGAGUGAAGAUUAGUUUGAGGCAAUCAUUGCACAAGCCUAGACAACAUGAUUGGGGUAUAGUUUUGCCAAAGUCCUUCCCUAUUUAUUACAAAAGGUCUUCAUUUGUAUAACAUCUACCUCAAUUUGAAACAAAUUUUUAUGCAUGGAAAGACAGGCCUAAGCACUGUGCCAAAUUGUCAUAAUGAGGAAAACAUGGUCACCUUCCUACUCCUUCCACUGUCUUCACAGCAUUCUAAAACUGAUCAUUCUGCCUCCCUCUUUAUCUUUUAAAGGGACAUGGAUGAACCUGGAAACCAUCAUUCUCAGCAAACUGACACAAGAACAGAAAAUCAAACACAGCAUGUUCUCACUCAUAGAUGG
rnacentral:lncRNA from 1 species